GCGUGGUACCUGAGGAUUUUGCCUCGGCGCGAUACGCUUCUUCCACCAAAGCAAAACAAACAUCAUCGAGCACGGGGCUAGAAGAUAACGCAGCUGGGGCGGGACCUCUCUCCCUAUAGCACUCCUUCUUCACCGCCCUCUUUGCAGCUCUCAGCUCCCCUGAAGGAUAUCUCUUCCUUUGGUCUUUUCUAAGUGUGAAGUCGCUUUACCUGCCGUUGGCCUUUGCCUCAUCGACCCCGCGCACACGGUGCUACACCACUUUCCAUCAAUACGGGGUUUUUAUCUUUUUCUCCUUGUCGCUCUUUGCAGGUUUUGGUGGGGCGCAAUGGUGUCGUGGUGGCCGUUUCAGCGCGGCCGCCAGUCUGCCGCCGCUGGCGGCGCCUCUCCAUCCCCCUCGAGCGACGCCGGCGGUGGUGAUGCGAAGGUGCCGCUCUCUCGCAGUCUUAUGGAUACGGAGUCGUUCGAAAACGUAGUCACUGGUAAGGAUCGCGAGUACGGUGACAGCGGCGUCGCCUACUCGCAGUUUGAUCGAAUGCGCGGUGAGCAGAGGAUACGGCGCCACGGUGACGGCCGAGCGUCAACGAUGGAUGUUGAGUCGAUUGACAUGCUUGUGAGUCGCUUUGAAAAUGAGUUCCGCCAGGCUGACGCGCACAUGAAGGCUCGUGAGGCGCAGCGGUCGGUCCUGCAGCGAUACGACUACGCCAAUGACCGACGCUACCAGCAGUGGGUGGCAGAGCAGAAGGAAAUGCGAGAGAAGCUGAAGAUCCACUGGCUAGACUGGAUGAUCGAUCAGCCGUCGGACUGCCUCGUCUACUUCCUGCGCGUGUGCACGACAGCUGGAUUUUGUUUCGGUGCAGGUCGGACCGCCUACCUGUACCGCACCAUGGACAAGACCUACGCAAAGCUGAACGGCGUCACGCUCGGCAGCAUCGCCUUCCACGAGAUUACAACGUCGGUGGCCAAAGGCGGGGCGGUAGCCCUGAUGGGCACCAUCGGCAUGCCGGUCGGCGACGCCUUGACGAACCUGUUUAUGCUGCUCUGGUCGGGUGACGUUUCCUCGCCGCAGCGCACAUGGUGGCACAUCUUGAACUCCAGCCUCUGCUCGGGCUUUCUCGGCGGAGUGGCUUAUGUGGGUUUCAACUACAAGCAGCUCACUCCAUGGGGGGUGCGCGCGCUUUUGUCACUCUCUACAGGCUCCGGGGCAGCCGCCGGCUUGUACCUGGGCUACGUGAUCUAUCGGCCCUAUGCGGCACAACGGACCCACAACUUGUAUGAGCCGUACUGGCGCCCCUGGCAUAGUCGUCAUCAGCGCGAUGCAGGUCCUUCCAACGUUCGUGGGAAGUAUCUGUGAUAGCGACAGCACGUGAACGCUCGUGCGCGUCUUUUGUACUUCUUCGCAGUGACGGUGGAAGCUGCUCCUUGCUGCACGUGCGGCAGGUUUUCAAGAGUGCAUUUUGCGUGUUUCCCUUUUUUGCGUUUGUUGCGGGUUUUGUUGCGGUCUCGCCUUCGGUCUUCCCCUCACACACAUGCGAAGGACGGUGCACAUACACACAAAAAAAGAUUAUAUAUAUAUAUAUAUAUAUAUAUGCUUACAUCCUACGCGUUCAGUGCGCUGUUCUGUCUCUACCUCUUUGGUUGGGGUGGUGGUGGAGAGGUGGUGCUGCUUCACUGACGUUUUCUGAAGCAUUUUGCAGGCAUCGGUGAAGAGGAUACUCUCUCUCCCUGGCAGGAGCUAAGUUGCUGCCGUCACAUCCGCCGUAUCUGAUUGUGUGACUCGGAAGGCCCACCCUUCCCUCGUCUCUCUCUUCGCUUGCCGCGGUGUGUCCUUUGCUGCUGCUCCCCUUCCCCCUUCGCUCAUCUCACGUUUCCUUCCCGCCUUUCCCUUUUGCUCUCUUUUUCCUACACAUUGCCUACUCCUCACCCCACCCCACCCCCUCUUCCUUCCUCCUCUCUCUCCAUGAAAAAAAAAAAG
rnacentral:misc_RNA from 1 species